AGAGUUUGAUCAUGGCUCAGAUUGAACGCUGGCGGCAGGCCUAACACAUGCAAGUCGAACGGUAACAGAAAGCAGCUUGCUGCUUUGCUGACGAGUGGCGGACGGGUGAGUAAUGUCUGGGAAACUGCCUGAUGGAGGGGGAUAACUACUGGAAACGGUAGCUAAUACCGCAUAACGUCGCAAGACCAAAGAGGGGGACCUUCGGGCCUCUUGCCAUCGGAUGUGCCCAGAUGGGAUUAGCUUGUUGGUGGGGUAACGGCUCACCAAGGCGACGAUCCCUAGCUGGUCUGAGAGGAUGACCAGCCACACUGGAACUGAGACACGGUCCAGACUCCUACGGGAGGCAGCAGUGGGGAAUAUUGCACAAUGGGCGCAAGCCUGAUGCAGCCAUGCCGCGUGUAUGAAGAAGGCCUUCGGGUUGUAAAGUACUUUCAGCGGGGAGGAAGGGAGUAAAGUUAAUACCUUUGCUCAUUGACGUUACCCGCAGAAGAAGCACCGGCUAACUCCGUGCCCAGCAGCCGCGGUAAUACGGAGGGUGCAAGCGUUAAUCGGAAUUACUGGGCGUAAAGCGCACGCAGGCGGUUUGUUAAGUCAGAUGUGAAAUCCCCGGGCUCAACCUGGGAACUGCAUCUGAUACUGGCAAGCUUGAGUCUCGUAGAGGGGGGUAGAAUUCCAGGUGUAGCGGUGAAAUGCGUAGAGAUCUGGAGGAAUACCGGUGGCGAAGGCGGCCCCCUGGACGAAGACUGACGCUCAGGUGCGAAAGCGUGGGGAGCAAACAGGAUUAGAUACCCUGGUAGUCCACGCCGUAAACGAUGUCGACUUGGAGGCUGUGCCCUUGAGGCGUGGCUUCCGGAGCUAACGCGUUAAGUCGACCGCCUGGGGAGUACGGCCGCAAGGUUAAAACUCAAAUGAAUUGACGGGGGCCCGCACAAGCGGUGGAGCAUGUGGUUUAAUUCGAUGCAACGCGAAGAACCUUACCUGGUCUUGACAUCCACGGAAGUUUUCAGAGAUGAGAAUGUGCCUUCGGGAACCGUGAGACAGGUGCUGCAUGGCUGUCGUCAGCUCGUGUUGUGAAAUGUUGGGUUAAGUCCCGCAACGAGCGCAACCCUUAUCCUUUGUUGCCAGCGGUCCGGCCGGGAACUCAAAGGAGACUGCCAGUGAUAAACUGGAGGAAGGUGGGGAUGACGUCAAGUCAUCAUGGCCCUUACGACCAGGGCUACACACGUGCUACAAUGGCGCAUACAAAGAGAAGCGACCUCGCGAGAGCAAGCGGACCUCAUAAAGUGCGUCGUAGUCCGGAUUGGAGUCUGCAACUCGACUCCAUGAAGUCGGAAUCGCUAGUAAUCGUGGAUCAGAAUGCCACGGUGAAUACGUUCCCGGGCCUUGUACACACCGCCCGUCACACCAUGGGAGUGGGUUGCAAAAGAAGUAGGUAGCUUAACCUUCGGGAGGGCGCUUACCACUUUGUGAUUCAUGACUGGGGUGAAGUCGUAACAAGGUAACCGUAGGGGAACCUGCGGUUGGAUCACCU
rnacentral:rRNA from 1 species